rnacentral:rRNA from 1 species
GACAGAGGAUGCAAGCGUUACCCGGAAUGAUUGGGCGUAAAGCGUCUGUAGGUGGCUUUUCAAGUCCGCCGUCAAAUCCCAGGGCUCAACCCUGGACAGGCGGUGGAAACUACCAAGCUGGAGUACGGUAGGGGCAGAGGGAAUUUCCGGUGGAGCGGUGAAAUGCAUUGAGAUCGGAAAGAACACCACGGCGAAAGCACUCUGCUGGCCGACACUGACACUGAGAGACGAAGCUAGG